rnacentral:rRNA from 1 species
GGAGUUAGCCGGUGCUUCUUCUGUGAGUGAUGUCCUUCCUGCCGGUUAUUGACCCGCAGGCCUUCUUCCUCACUGAAAGUGCUUUACAACCCGAAGGCCUUCUUCACACACGCGGCAUGGCUGGAUCAGGGUUGCCCCCAUUGUCCAAUAUUCCCCACUGCUGCCUCCCGUAGGAGUCUGGGCCGUGUCUCAGUCCCAGUGUGGCUGAUCAUCCUCUCAGACCAGCUACGGAUCGUCGCCUUGGUGAGCCGUUACCUCACCAACCAGCUAAUCCGACAUAGGCUCAUCCGAUAGCGCGAGGCCCGAAGGUCCCCCGCUUUCCCCCGUAGGGCGUAUGCGGUAUUAGCCUGGGUUUCCCCAGGUUAUCCCCCACUACCGGGCAGAUUCCUAUGCAUUACUCACCCGUCCGCCGCUCGCCACCAGGGAGCAAGCUCCCCGUGCUGCCGCUCGACUUGCAUGUGUUAGGCCUGCCGCCAGCGUUCAAUCUAAGCCAGGAUCAAACUCUGA